AGUGAACGCUGGCGGUAGGCCUAAUACAUGAAAGUCGAACGGCAGCACAGUAAGAGCUUGCUCUUACGGGUGGCGAGUGGCGGACGGGUGAGGAAUACAUCGGAAUCUACUUUUUCGUGGGGGAUAACGUAGGGAAACUUACGCUAAUACCGCAUACGACCUACGGGUGAAAGCAGGGGAUCUUCGGACCUUGCGCGAUUGAAUGAGCCGAUGUCGGAUUAGCUAGUUGGCGGGGUAAAGGCCCACCAAGGCGACGAUCCGUAGCUGGUCUGAGAGGAUGAUCAGCCACACUGGAACUGAGACACGGUCCAGACUCCUACGGGAGGCAGCAGUGGGGAAUAUUGGACAAUGGGCGCAAGCCUGAUCCAGCCAUACCGCGUGGGUGAAGAAGGCCUUCGGGUUGUAAAGCCCUUUUGUUGGGAAAGAAAAGCAGCAGGUUAAUACCCCGCUGUUCUGACGGUACCCAAAGAAUAAGCACCGGCUAACUUCGUG
rnacentral:rRNA from 1 species